GCAACGGGGCGGGCGUGCUAUACAUGCAGUCGAGCGAACAGGGAGUAAGGAGCUUGCUCCUUUUGACGUUAGCGGCGGACGGGUGAGUAACACGUGGGCAACCUACCCUAUAGAUUGGGAUAACUCCGGGAAACCGGGGCUAAUACCGAAUAAUCUUUUUCACCUCAUGGUGACAUACUGAAAGACGGCUUCGCCUGGCCCUUAUGGAUGGGCCCGCGGCGCAUUAACUAAUUGGUGAGGGAACGGCUCCCCCAGGGCACGAUGGGUAACCGACCUGAAAGGGUGAUCGGCCACCCUGGGACUGAAACCCGGCCCAGACUCCUACGGGAGGGAGCAGUAGGGAAUCUUCCCCAAUGGGCGAAAGGCUGAAGGAACAACGCCGCGGGAGUGAAGAAGGGUUUCGGGACGUAAAACUCUGGUGGUAGGGAAAAACAAGUGCCAGUUGAAUUGGCUGGUACCUUGACGGUACCUAAUUAAAAAGCCACGGUUAACUACGUGCCAGCAGCCGCGGUAAUACGUAGGGGGCAAGCGUUGUCCGGAAUUAUUGGGCGUAAAGCGCGCGCAGGGGGUCUCUUAAGUCUGAUGUGAAAGCCCACGGUUCAACCGUGGAGGGUCAUUGAAAACUGGGAGACUUGAGUGCAGAAGAGGAAAGUGGAAUUCCAUGUGUAGCGGUGAAAUGCGUAGAGAUAUGGAGGAACACCAGUGCGAAGGGCGACUUUCUGAUCUGUAACUGACGACUGAGGCGCGAAAGCGUGGGGAGCAAACAGGGAUUAGAUACCCUGGUAGUCCACGCGUAACGAUGAGUGCUAAGGUGUUUAAGGAGGUUUCGUCCCUUAUGCUGCAGCUAACGCAUAAGCACUCGUCUGGGGGGAGUACGG
rnacentral:rRNA from 1 species